rnacentral:miRNA from 1 species
ACACACACACACACACACACACACACGGUGUGUGUGUGUGUGUGUGUGUGUGU